rnacentral:misc_RNA from 1 species
UUGAUUUGGUGAGAGG